rnacentral:rRNA from 1 species
AUGGACUAUCCAUUCAAGGUUCUAGAUUGGCUGUUGCAUCAAGCGCGGAAGUCCUCCAAACAACAAGUGAUCAAAUAUAAUGAAAAAGAAAUGAUCUAUCAAAUCGAUGAGCCGGGUGGGACAACAAGGGACGGUAGGUCCUAUGGUGGAGUUGCUUACGAGGUGCACAUGAAAAACCGUUGGUGCCGGUGUGAGAGGCCACACAAGUAUCAUUGGCCUUGCUCGCAUUUGAUGACCGCAGAACGGGCGAGAAACGUGCCCGUAUCCAAUGGCACAACGGUGCAGUUGCACAAGUUCACAUUGGAACGAACAAGGUUGACGUGGGCGCCUCGGUUUAAUCCUUUCCUUGAUGCCUCACGGUGGCCUGAGUAUCACGGCCCAGACAUUGUGCCAGAUCCCGCACUCAUGGUGCCUAUGAGGGGAAGAAGAAGAAAGAAGAGGUUCAGGAGUGACAUGGAUGAUCUAGCUGGAUACACCGGAAUGAAGCAAUUUGGUAGUGGUCAUUUCAUGGAGGCAUCGGACACCAACAAUUGUGGAGAAUGCAACGAAACAGGACACAACGUUAGGAGAUGCACGAAAAAACCUAGAACCAACAUGGGCACUAGUCAAACACGUGUAGGGAGGACUAGCCUUGGAGUGGGCCGUGGCCGUCGAGGAAGGACUAGCCUUGGAGGGGGCCGUGGUCGUGGAGGAAGGACUAGCCUUGGAGGGGGCCGUGGCCGUGGAGGAAGGACUAGCCUUGGAGGGGGCCAUGGUCGUGGAUCCGGUGGUUCUAGUACACGUCGGGUUGAUAGGGGAAGGCCUAUCGACGUGUUGCUCAAUCCGGAUGGUUGA